AUACGUAGGGGGCGAGCGUUGUCCGGAAUGAUUGGGCGUAAAGGGCGCGUAGGCGGCCCGGUAAGUCUGGAGUGAAAGUCCUGUUUUUAAGAUGGGAAUUGCUUUGGAUACUGUCGGGCUUGAGUGCAGGAGAGGUAAGUGGAAUUCCCAGUGUAGCGGUGAAAUGCGUAGAGAUUGGGAGGAACACCAGUGGCGAAGGCGACUUACUGGACUGUAACUGACGCUGAGGCGCGAAAGUGUGGGGAGCAAACAGGAUUAGAUACCCUGGUAGUCCACUCUGUAAACGAUGAAUGCUAGGUGUAGGGGGUAUCGACCCCUUCUGUGCCGCAGUCAACACAAUAAGCAUUCCGCCUGGGGAGUACGGCCGCAAGGUUGAAACUCAAAGGAAUUGACGGG
rnacentral:rRNA from 1 species